AAGGACUGUCUUGUGCUGUGAUUGGCUGGACUGGACGCUGCAGGAUACUUCCUGGAAUGUCUGCAAGUGGACGUUCUUCUGGCUGUUUCACUGAAAAAGUGGUGAUGGGGACUUUCUUUUAUACAAGAAGAUGUAAUUAAUAGCCAUGAGAUUAUAGUGGAAUGAAACCUCUGACCAGAUCAAGGAUGCUACACAACCUCCCUUGAAACUGGCUUUCUACAUGUGCUGAAAAAUUAUUACGUUUUGUUCAAAGUAUUGGAAACCAGAAGCCAUUUAACAUGACAACAGAAACGUUGGUGAAGGAUAUUAAACCAGGCAUGAAAAAUCUAAAUCUUAUAUUCAUUGUGCUGGAAACAGGCCGGGUGACCAAGACAAAGGAUGGUCAUGAAGUACGGACCUGUAAAGUAGCUGACAAAACAGGCAGCAUAAACAUCUCUGUAUGGGAUGAUGUUGGGAAUCUAAUCCAGCCGGGCGAUAUCAUCCGACUCACCAAAGGGUACUCAUCAAUUUUCAAAGGCUGCUUGACACUGUACACUGGGCGUGGAGGAGAUCUGCAGAAAGUAGGAGAGUUUUGUAUGAUUUAUUCAGAAGUGCCAAAUUUCAGUGAGCCAAAUCCUGACUAUGUUGCCCAGCAGUCGCAAAACAAAAAUACACCGAAUGACAGUGCAGCCCCUACAACGUCUCAAACUACAUCAGGACCUUCUACAUCAACAGCUGCAGAGAACCAGAAUGGCAAUGGGUUGAUCCCCUCUGGUGGUGCUCUCCACCAACCCAGCAUCUCAACCCAUCCUACCACCAGUCGCAUUACUAGGAGUCAACCCAACCAUCAAGGUGGAAGCUCAUCAAGCAUAGGGUCCUCCUCAAACCCAGUCAGCAAUGGCAAAGAGACACGGAGAAGUAGCAAGAGAUAGCAGGGGCUGUAGGUUCAGGAAAGUUUUGGAUACCUCUUUCCUCCACUGCCUGCAAUACUACUUUGUGCCUCUUUCUGAGGCAAAACAGCUGCUGCUGAGGAGAAGUCAUGGGUACACUAGGCUGAAGUAGAGACUAUGGGAACAACCUAACGUUUAACCACUGAAAUGUAUUUUUAACAUGGGGUGUUGUGAUUGGGUGAGAGAUAACAGUCUUCAGUGUUUCUACUGAAAGGCUUGCCUUGCCUUUUAGGAAUCCUCAAAUAUUGUAAGUUGCACUUGUUUUUUGCUGGAAAUCAAUAACAAUUGACCUGCCAUCUGUUUACCUGAUAGUAUUUUGUUCCUGUCCAUUAUCUUCCCAGAGAAUAAGCUCCUGUGAGUUGGGCAUGAGUUUUUGUAUUUAGGUCUGUACUUCUUAAAGCUCCUUCCUUACUCUUUUUAAUCUAUGAAUUGGAAUGAAUAUGAUUCAUAACUUCUCAAGGAAGUACAGUUGGGCAACGACAACUGAUGCCAUACUUUCCCAAACAACCUUAGGAUUGGCCAAUAACAGAGCCUUGUCAUAUCCAAGAGCCCUGGUAGAGCAGCGGUUAGAAUGUAGUAUUGCAAAUUAACUCUGCUCACAAUCUGGAGUUCGAUCCUGACGGGCUCAGGGUUGACUCAGCCAUCCAUCCUUCAAAGGUCGGUAAAAUGUGGAUCCAGAUUGUUGAGGGAAAUAUGCUGAUGUUGUAAACCUCUCAGAGAGUGCUGUAAAGUCUAAGCACUAUUGCUAUUGCUACAGCUAUUUCCCCAAAAGUGACACUAUAAUUUACAGCAAACUUUAGAGAGGUUUCUAAAAACAACAUGGUAAAAGUACAGCAAAACUGACAACAAAUUAAUCUUUGUUUUAAAAUCCUAACUUUUAAUUGUUAUGAAAGUUAAUGGUUUUUAAACAUUAAUUAUUCAGAUAGAUAUUCGCCACUAUUGCAAACAUUGAUUAUUGUGUGGAGAUAUUGAAUUUUUUUUACAUUCCAGUAGAGCAUAGAAUAGGGUUGGAAGGGAUCUUGGAGGUCUUCUAGUCCAGGAAACCGUAUAUCAGAGGCUGUCUAGAUUGAGCUUCCUGACUACAGUCACAGCUCCUAUUUUGGGUCCUCAUGCAGACACAAGAUCAAGUCUGUUUACCUUUGAACUGGAAGACCUAUACAAACUUUUUAAAAAGACAGUCAGAAUCUUCUGACAUUGUAAGAGUGUUAUGGGGCAUUUGUCAUGUAUAUUUUAAUUUAAUAUCUCUUUCCCAUCUGCAUAAUUAGAAAAAAACAAGGAACUAUCCUAAGCCAAAAUUCUGCAAAGCUUUCAGGAAGCUAUAUAUUGUCUGACUCUCACUUAUUUGAAGAAGCAUGACCAUCAGCCUUCAUCACAAACAGAUCUAAGCAUUUUAAAAGGAAGAGGGAGGUCUUUAUCGUGAAACUGUUGCCAAAGUUACAACCAUUUUAAUGCCAAUAAAACAUCAAAAGAAAUGUCUUACUUUUUGUUUGUAAUUAUGAAUGAAUGCAGCUGCUUAAACAUUUAAAUAUGUUUUGAAAUUCUUUGUUAUAUAGUUGUUUGGCUCCUGUCCCACCUUUUUGCUCUUUUCCAUUGUUGCCCUUUCCAAAAUAAUUGCUUGAAUUAAUUCUUAUAAGAACUUCAUUGUUUACGGUAGUGUGGUGUGGUUAUUGACUGUACUAAAUGAACAAUAACAACUAUGAAUAUUUGGGGAAUAAAUUCUGACCUUAUUCUUUGAACAUCUCCAUGACGUGCAAAUGCUUAAUGAGAUGAAACUAUGAAUUACAGGACUCCCUUGGUAUCAUGGAAAGAAUGGGGACAUUGGGAAUUAGAUAAUAUCUCAGUUCUCUUGUCCCAUCUGAAGCAAAUUUACUGAUGCCAUUUUGCCAGAAUUGUUUUCCUUUCCUCUUAAGUUUGAAAUAACAGAUUGGCGUUUCCUUUUCAGAUGAAAAUAUAUCGUGCAGGUGGAAAAGCCAUGAUUUGGUUAUUGGAAAAGUAAUUAAAAUAUGACUGUAGGAUGAUUACUACCAUAGUAAAUGAAAAUUACUGAACUUUGAAAUUGGGAGAAUGGCAGUGUAAUUUUUGAACACAACCCUCUUCAUUACAUCAUCACCCAGCAUGAUUCAACCAAGCCUGGGACUCGACAAUCUACAAAGUUACCCCUGCAUGGCCCGAUGGGAGUCUGGCAACCAAUCAGGACACCUGCCCUUAUACAGGAACAGGAAACUCUAAGGCGGGGCCCAAGACGGUAUAAAUCUCUCUCUCACCCAUGGGCUCAUUUGCCUAGGACCCCCCAAAAAAACAUGUGGUCCUGUCCACUGUUAAACCAUCUUUCCAAACAGCCUCCAUGUUUCCAGUGUCUUUCUUCCCACUUGGAACUGACCCCAAAUGGACAUUUCUUCCAACAAAACUAUAAUUGUUCUUGUUAUGUAUUAACGUUUGUACCUUUAAAUAUUUGAGCGGGAAAUCAGCACGUUGCUGAUUGGACGAAGCCUCCAGCAGAACUGUAUAAAAGGAGAGGUUUUUCCCCCAGCCUGUUGCUGGGUUCACCCUAUAUUAAAGAGCUGUUGUCACUACCCUGGUCUCCAGCCUCGUUACUUCCAGAACUUAACAUUGGCGACGAGGAUGGGAUCUCGAGGCUGAGGAGAACCAGAACCGAGCUGAAGCACGAUAGACCCGAACCCA